CACCACUCAAGCCUCGCUUGGUAUUGGGCGACGCGGUCCGCCGCGCGCCUCAAAUCGACCGGCUGGGUCUUCUGUCCCCUCAGCGUUGUGGAAACUAUUCGCUAAAGGGUGCCACGGGAGGCCACGCCGAAAAACAAACCCAUUUCUAAGG
rnacentral:misc_RNA from 2 species